GUGGUUUACUUCAGCAGCACACAUACUGAAAUUAGAACAAUAUACAGAAGCUUAACGUGGUCCGUGCGCAAGGAUGACACACAAAUUUGUGAAGCGUUCCAUAUUUUU
rnacentral:snRNA from 1 species